rnacentral:rRNA from 1 species
CCUACGGGAGGCAGCAGUGAGGAAUAUUGGUCAAUGGACGAGAGUCUGAACCAGCCAAGUAGCGUGAAGGAUGACUGCCCUAUGGGUUGUAAACUUCUUUUAUAUGGGAAUAAAAUGUUCCACGUGUGGGAUUUUGUAUGUACCAUAUGAAUAAGGAUCGGCUAACUCCGUGCCAGCAGCCGCGGUAAUACGGAGGAUCCGAGCGUUAUCCGGAUUUAUUGGGUUUAAAGGGAGCGUAGGUGGAUGGUUAAGUCAGUUGUGAAAGUUUGCGGCGCAACCGUAAAAUUGCAGUUGAAACUGGCAGUCUUGAGUACAGUAGAGGUGGGCGGAAUUCGUGGUGUAGCGGUGAAAUGCUUAGAUAUCACGAAGAACUCCGAUUGCGAAGGCAGUUCACUGGACUGCAACUGACACUGAGGCUCGAAAGUGUGGGUAUCAAACAGGAUUAGAUACCCUAGUAGUC